UACGAAGGGGCUAGCGUUGCUCGGAAUUACUGGGCGUAAAGCGUGCGUAGACGGUUAUUUAAGUCAGGUGUGAAAGCCCGGCUCCAACCUGGGAAUUGCAUUUGAGACUGAAUAGCUAGGGUGCGGAAGAGGGAAGCGGAAUUUCCGGUGUAGCGGUGAAAUGCGUAGAUAUCGGAAGGAACACCAGUGCGAAAGCGGCUUCCU
rnacentral:rRNA from 1 species